CACGUGGGGAACCUGCCCCAUAGUCUGGGAUACCACUUGGAAACAGGUGCUAAUACCGGAUAAGAAAGCAGAUCGCAUGAUCAGCUUUUAAAAGGCGGCGUAAGCUGUCGCUAUGGGAUGGCCCCGCGGUGUAUUAGCUAGUUGGUAAGGUAAAGGCUUACCAAGGCGAUGAUGCAUAGCCGAGUUGAGAGACUGAUCGGCCACAUUGGGACUGAGACACGGCCCAAACUCCUACGGGAGGCAGCAGCU
rnacentral:rRNA from 1 species